rnacentral:rRNA from 1 species
AUUGAACGCUGGCGGCAGGCCUAACACAUGCAAGUCGAACGAGUGGCGGACGGGUGAGUAAUGUCUGGGAAACUGCCCGAUGGAGGGGGAUAACUACUGGAAACGGUAGCUAAUACCGCAUACCAUCGGAUGUGCCCAUAUGGGAUUAGCUAGUAGGUGGGGUAACGGCUCACCUAGGCGACGAUCCCUAGCUGGUCUGAGAGGAUGAACAGCCAAACUGGAACGUGGACAGGGUCCCGACUCCUACGGUAGGCAGCAGUGGGGUAUAUUGCACAAUGGGCGCACGCCUGAUGCAGCCAUGCCGCGUGUAUGAAGAAGGCCUUCGGGUUGUAAAGUACUUUCAGCGAGGAGGCGUUACUCGCAGAAGAAGCACCGGCUAACUCCGUGCCAGCAGCCGCGGUAAUAC